rnacentral:ncRNA from 3 species
UAACUGGCUUGUGGCAGCCAAGCG